rnacentral:rRNA from 1 species
CAGCAGCCACGGUAAUACGUAGGGUGCAAGCGUUAAUCGGAAUUACUGGGCGUAAAGCGUGCGCAGGCGGUUUGUUAAGACAGAUGUGAAAUCCCCGGGCUCAACCUGGGAACUGCAUUUGUGACUGGCAAGCUAGAGUGUGGCAGAGGGGGGUGGAAUUCCGCGUGUAGCAGUGAAAUGCGUAGAUAUGCGGAGGAACACCGAUGGCGAAGGCAGCCCCCUGGGCCAACACUGACGCUCAUGCACGAAAGCGUGGGGAGCAAGCAGGAUUAGAUACCCCCGUAGUCCCUGUCUCUUAUAC